AUCCUAUAUAUUUAAUUAUUUCUUAUCUUAAGAUUAAAUUUAAAUCGUCCGGUCAAACAAUCAAACGAUCUAAAUUUUAGUCAAUUUUUCAAAGAACCAGUGCAUCUUAUGCGUCUGUACCUUGGAAAUAUUAAUACACGCAUAAGUUUUACAGUGAGAAACCAUCGUAUAGUCCCAAUAUCCUUUUCUCAAAAUAGCAACGAUGGUCGCCCCUCUUUCACCCUUCUCAUCGCCGCCCCUUCUCCACUUUGCCGAAAACGGAACCUCUCUAACCACCAUAGUUGGCCACCUACCACCACCUGCACGAGAAUCCCACCAAAACCGACCCUUCAGCCCACGAAUCCUUCAAGAACAGAAAAAACAGUCCUCUAAUCCGUAUAACAAUGAAAAAAGGAGUCAAAAUCGCCAUUAAUGGCCUGGAAAAGCAAGAAAUUUGUUUUAGAUUUUUGAAUAAAUUUCAAACCAAUUUUUUCAUCACGUUUUUCUUAAAUCGAGUGUCGAAUCCGAACUUUCAAGUACGUAUUCGCCUAUAAAUAUGGGUCCUCGUUAUCUCUAAGAGGGCAGGCAAAAAAUUCAUAAGAAACUCAGAGAGAAAAAAAAGCAAAGUAAAAAAAGAGCAAAGAUCCAUGAGAAAAACAAGAGUUCAAGGUCAGUGGAAAGGCACGUCAACAAAUUGAAAACCAGUAGAACAAAAGGCAUCUCAAAAUCGAUGACUUCUUUUCGAUUUCGGUCCAAAUUCUGAGUAUAGGAGUUUGAGUUUUUACUGUCAGAACCUUGCUAUCGAAACCCAGAUUUUGCUGCCAAAAGUUGGAGUUCUCAUUUGAAACUCAUUCAUGAUCCAAAAGGGUUUUGGGUCAGCAGCUAUAGGAGGACCGUACGCUGUCAGAGUCAAGUAUUAGGAGUUUUGGGCUACAAGGAACCCAAUGCUUUAAUUUUCAUUGUCCUUUACAUCACGUUAUUAUUGACAUUGUUACUUGCUAACAUGCUUUGUGUGAUUUGGCAUAGACUAAGAAACUUUGUUAAAACAAUCUUCAAUCUGCCGUUAACGUAUACCGUUGUUUCUUAUCUCGGAUUUUCAAUAAACAAAAGUGGGUAACGUUCUUUUCA